UGUCUUUGCCUCACCAAAAAAACCCUGCUGUGAUUGGGAUCACGGGAACUCUGAGUACAGACCAACUCGACUUCAUCAACUCUCAAGAAUACCCUGAAGAUAUCGAUUCCAUGAUGAAGAGGAUGGAUAAAUUACUUGAUGAUUUUGAUUACCCCACCGUCUGUGUUUUCUCUACUAAAAAUCAGAGAAAGGUGACGGAUAAUUACUUCUACGAGAGUACUGAGAAAAUUUAUUUUUUCUUUGAAGUGUUUUGGUUAAUUCAGAAAAAAGCAUUUGGGGAUGAUGGAAACUUGAAGCAAUCAAAGAAACUAUCUAUUAACAAAGCUGGGAAGGGUAUGCUGUUCGAAAUUUGCCGCUGCUUUCGUUGUUUUUAAUGUAAUACAAUGCUUCUGCAAGUGGGGUUUCCUUACGGUAGUUGUCGAAGAGUAGUACUAUUGCACUUUCUUUUGUUAAAAAAAAGGGAAACCGGUAAGUACUGAUGUUGUUAAUAUGUGUAACAUACUUGUGAUCCAGUAUUCAAAGGUUUCUCUAUCUCUGAGAAAGUCUCGAGCUUGUUAUUAUCGUUAGUUUACGAGGGGCCAGUAAUCAUUCAGUCCACUUGCAUUUUUAAGACAAAGUAUAAUGUUACUAAAGCUGGCAGUUCGUUUUACUUUGUCUUUUUGACAGUUCUUGCUUCUUAUCUAA